UUAAACCUCCAUCAAACAGACACACGGCGCACAAAAGAAAACCUCAUCACCAAGGGAAACUAAUCCACCGGUGCGCAAUGUAAGCCUGUCAACUUUUUAUUAUAAGAAGUCAUCACUCAUUUCAGUGAAGAUUAAAAGUAUGACUAAAUUGAGAAAAUCCUCUUAGCCAUUUGGAAUUUUAAUAGAGGAGAAAAGGGGGGAAUAAGGUUGCACAAGUUAGAUAUUUGGUUUCUAGUUUCUAGCAGUAAUCCUCAAC
rnacentral:lncRNA from 1 species